GGCCUUAUAUUCAAUUAUGAUUCUAGACUGCAAUUCUAGAGGUGUAAAAAUCUUUACUAAGGCCU
rnacentral:tRNA from 1 species